UACGUAGGGGGCUAGCGUUGUCCGGAAUCAUUGGGCGUAAAGAGCGUGUAGGCGGUCCGGUAAGUCCGCUGUGAAAGUCCGGGGGCUCAACCCUCGAAUGCCGGUGGAUACUGUCGGGCUAGAGUGCGGAAGAGGCGAGUGGAAUUCCGUGGUGUAGCGGUGAAAUGCGCAGAUAUCAGGAGGAACACCUAUUGCGAAGGCAGCUCGCUGGGACGUUACUGACGCUGGAGACGCGAAAGCGUGGGGAGCAAACAGG
rnacentral:rRNA from 1 species